rnacentral:rRNA from 1 species
AAUUGUUGUUUUUUAUUUUUAGGUAUUGCAUACUGUUAAAGGAAAAUUUUAUAGUAAUAAAAAAUAGAAUUAAAAGGUAGAAAAAUUCAUUAUUUUUAUUGUUUCAUAAUAAAAAUUAUAGUUUUUAGUGUUGAAAUGUCGACUUUUAGGUUAUCUGUGUGUUUUAAAUAAUUAGAAAUUUAUUGUUUUUUGUUGAAAAUUUUAUAAAUAGUAAGAGUUAAAGUAUCUUUAUUGUUAGUUUUAUAACUGUUUAUUAAAUGUGUUGUUUUUGGUUUAUUAUAUAAUAAGUUUGUAUUAUAUUUUUAAUCUUUAAAUUAGUAGUUUAAUUUAAAUUUUAUUUGUGUUUAUAAUUUAAUUUAAGAAUUCAGGGUCUAAUCAAAUGUUUUUUAAAGACUUAGAUUUUUAUAUAAAGUUAGCUUCUGCCCAGUGAUGUUAAUUAAAUGGCAGUCUUAGCGUGAGGACAUUAAGGUAGCAAAAUAAUUUGUGCUUUUAUUGGGUUCCAGUAUGAAUGAAGUUAUUGGUUAAUUAUUUUUUGAUUUUUUAACGAAUUUUUAAUUAACAAUAAAAAAGUGUUAUUACAGUAAAACAAAGAUAAGUCUUCGGAAAUUCUUUUUUAAAGAUAAUAUUAAUUAUAUUUAAAAAUUUUCUAGGGUAGAAUUUUAUGUAAUAGGUUUAUCUAUUAAUAAUUUUAAGAAUUACUUCGGAGUUAACAGAAAAUCAUACUUAAUCUAGUUCUUAUAGUAAGGUAAGUUUUACAUCGAUGUUGUAUCUAGGUUUAUUAAAGAAGGAGAAAUUUUAAGUUUUAAGACUGUUCUUCUUUUAAUUAAUUUAACGUGAUAUUAGUUUAAUUCAUUGUGAGAUAGAAUUGUUUAUCUUGUUUAUUGUUUUUUUUUAAUUUUAAUAGUACGAAAGGAAAAUUAAAAAAAGUUUAAAACUUUUUAAGUUUAGUAGC